CCUCCUCGCCGCUUCCUCUCCCUCCACCGCGCAGCUCCAGCCGCCUUGCCGCCGCCGCAUCCCCUUCCAAGUUCAGGCUGUGGGUGGAACCUGUUGCUUUAGCUCACGUUUCCCUUCCCCUCCGGGCUGCACGCUGAGGAUGACCUCAGCGAGGUGUGUGUAAGGGGAAUGGAGGGUUUGGCUUCCUUGAGACAGAGGAUCUUGCUCGCCUCAAAGAGGAGGGCAGUUUGCCCCCUUCCUCCUGACUCCAAGACAAAAGAGAGAAGACUGAAGAGUGGUAAAGCUUGUGGUGUGAGAUUUGGAUUGUUGUAAGACACAUUUGCGCUGCAUCCUGAAAACAGGAAGAGGUCAAAGGAAUAUCUUUAAAAGGGAUCCAGGGCCUCUCAGAGUUCACCUGAGCUUUCCCAAGUCUGGUUUGUUCUCUCUACCCUGCUGCUACUACUGCAAGUGACUUUCACAAGAUGCUUCUGAGCAUAGCAUUGCUCUGCUGUGACCACUGCAGAUGUCAAGAGAAUUUCUGCCUUUUGGAACUUGGACAAUAUUGGCCACCUACCCAGAGAGAGGAGAAGGAUAAUCCAGACAUAAAGUGUGACCCUGGAUGGGUGAAGCAUGGCUCUGGAACCAGCAGCAGCAGCAGCAGCAGCAGCAGCAAUAUCUUCCUAAUCCCUAGGUCGUUCCCAGAGCAAACGGUUCAGGGGGAAGCUUACUGAUUUCCGGUCCUCUGACUCAGGCAGAGUUGGCAGCUUCCUUCAGAGCCGAUUCUUCAUUGUUCCCUGUCAGCAAGUCCUGGAGGCCUGGCCUCAACACAUAGUAGCUCCCACACAUCCUUUGGAUCUCUGAUAAAGAGUCAUAUACUUAAAGAGCCAUCCUCACAUUCCUGCCCAGACUGUGAGCUGCAUGAGAGAGGCCAUGUCUCAUUUUGUUCCAUUACAUCUCCAGCACUUAAGAGUGCUGGACACAUAACGAGUGUCUGACACAUAACGAGUGCUGAAUAAAUGUUUGUUAACUG
rnacentral:lncRNA from 1 species